GAACGAGCAUCCAAGAAGGAGCCAGCCCAGAUGUGAAGAGGAGGAAGGGGAGGAGGUCACCAGGAGCAGAAAGCUCAGAGACCAAUCAGAGCUCAGACUAAACAGGAAGAGGAUGUGGCUUCCUGUAAGGCACCUCAGAAGCAGAUCUUUGUAGGCGGCGAGUGCUAUGGACCCACUUUCUCAGGAACAAUAGCUCUGCCGACUCAGGAUCCAACCGGGGCCUUGCAGAUGAAUUACAAGCAUUUCUGAGAAGCUUAAAGUUACAGAAUGUCUGACCGAGGAACAAAUGGAUAAGAAGAGGUAGCAGAAAAACAGAACAGCAUUGACAAGGCUGAAAACAAUAUGUGUUUAACCCUCUAAAAUUGGACACAAAAGACUUCCACUCGACGCCUCCUCAAAAGGUCACGUGUGGCACUUGACCAACUUGAAGCUAUUAUGUCCAGAGAGCUCAAAAUUAGUUAAAUUGAUGUGGAACCAUCGACAGCAGAGAAACUAUCCGAAACGUCACCGCGUAACCUCAGUUUACGAAACGCAAAAGUAUUCCGGGGGUUUGUGAAUGCAACGCUUUCCUCCACGUUAUUCAGAGGCGCGAGGGAACGAGGAGACGUUUGGAAGUUACGUAGCACUUUGACGCAAACGAUCAUUUUCUCUGUGAUUUCUAGCAUUGUUAAAAACGUGCGUAGGCUUAAAAAAAAUACCCCGCUGUUUCUUACUCACACUCGACUGACUAACAUUGGAUACAAUGUCUCUACUCCUGGCUGCCUCCGAGGCCCCGUCUGCGUCUGUAAAAACAGUCAGGGGCGUCUCACGCACGUCAUCAGCGGUGCCUGAGAGGCCGCUGAUGAAAAACGAUGGCAACGUUCUGCUUUUUCUGCCUGCGUCGCAUGAAAGGAGCCGUUAGUCAGUCUUAAAGAGACACACCGUCUCUCUCUGGAGCUAUUAAUAGCCACACAGGCUGCCUUUCUUUUUUCUUUUUCUCUCUAUGUAGAAAAGCUGACCACCAAACAUUUUGAGGUGAGCCCAGAAAAAAAAAAAAAUCAAAUUCCCCCUUUCUCUGCUCAUUUCCUCCCCACCCUGGAUUCUGCAGAAAGCCGUACACUGUGACAAAUAGCUCACCCGGGUUAUUUUUAGCUUCAAGCGUCCAGAGCCUCCUAUUUAUGCUGCAACAUGUGUCCAGAAUCGGCACAUUGCAAGGGAAAGCAGUGAGGAAGACAUAUUAGUUAGACAGUUAGCGCACUGAACCGCAACCAGGUUAGCAUACCUGAUGGCGUAAGACAUAUCCGAACUGUGAAUCACCCUGUAAUUAUUAGGUUACAGCAGAUUUCACACACGAAAGAGCCUGCUUUCUCUGUCAAAUGUCUGCUUUCUCUGAGAUUUUACACUUUAAUGUAAUGAUUACACAGGGAAAG